GGGCGUUAAGUUGCAGGGUAUAGACCCGAAACCCGGUGAUCUAGCCAUGGGCAGGUUGAAGGUUGGGUAACACUAACUGGAGGACCGAACCGACUAAUGUUGAAAAAUUAGCGGAUGACCUGUGGCUGGGGGUGAAAGGCCAAUCAAACCGGGAGAUAGCUGGUUCUCCCCGAAAGCUAUUUAGGUAGCGCCUCGUGAAUUCAUCUCCGGGGGUAGAGCACUGUUUCGGCUAGGGGGCCAUCCCGGCUUACCAACCCGAUGCAAACUGCGAAUACCGGAGAAUGUUAUCACGGGAGACACACGGCGGGUGCUAACGUCCGUCGUGAAGAGGGAAACAACCCAGACCGCCAGCUAAGGUCCCAAAGUCAUGGUUAAGUGGGAAACGAUGUGGGAAGGCACAGACAGCCAGGAUGUUGGCUUAGAAGCAGCCAUCAUUUAAAGAAAGCGUAAUAGCUCACUGGUCGAGUCGGCCUGCGCGGAAGAUGUAACGGGGCUAAACCAUGCACCGAAGCUGCGGCAGCGACACU
rnacentral:rRNA from 1 species